rnacentral:lncRNA from 1 species
GACAUAAUCCGUGGGGUUAUUGUAAAAUCUGGCUCUGAGAGAGAGAGAGAGAGAGAGAGGUGUAAAAUCCAUUCAGUCUCUAUCUGAUGCUAAUGCUAAUCCCGCUGCCUCUGUGGUUAGGCUGGGAUAAAGGACGUUGAAAAGGCCAUCCAGCUGGCCAGAAACAACAGGCAACUUCUCCUCCAGUCCUUGAAUGCAACACAGACCGUGCAGGAUGAAUCACGCCAGCCCAAGGGGACCGCAAGAAUCGGGGAAGAGGUAUUUGACAUGCACAACAACACGUCCUCUUGUGGAGCAGAUGAUUACAUUUCAUUGUCAUUAGUAAUUAUGCCUAUGCCCAAUAUCACACCAGUGGAGAAAUCAGUCUUGGAAGCAAGUACCAUGACUAAUAAAGAAAAGUAAGUCCUCUCUGUUGCAUUAGAGCGUAUCUACACCAUAACAGAGAGCAUUUAGCCUGAGAGAGUCUAUCUGUCGCAGGGUUCCUCCUCCUCCCGCUGCUGCUGCUGCUGCUAGGCCCAAGACCCAGAGCUUUCAGCAGCUGAACAAGUCUGGCGUGUGGUCGAAGUUAGUGGACGAAGCUGUGGCUGUGCUCCAAGAGGGGGCCAGGAGGAUCUUUCUACCUGAGGACAAGAGCAAAGCGGGAGGCCCUCAGGACAAGGACAAAGAGAGACGCCUUGAGGACAAUGCCAAAGAGGGACGCCCUCAGGACAAUGCCAAAGAGGGACGCCUUGAGGACAAGUCCAAAGAGGGAGACCUUCAGGGCAAGACUGAAGACGGGCGUCCUGAUGUCAAGACCAAAGAGGAAGCCCUUGUUGGUGUGGAUGGACAGGAAAUGCAGAACAAAGACAAAGCUGAGGGACAGCACAAAACGAAAGCCUCAGUGAAGAAGUCAAAGGGGAAGAAAAAGGCGGCAGCACUCAACUCCGGAGUUCCAUCUCUGAAGGUCUGAGUCACACAGGAACGAAGCAGUGGCGAGUUGGAGCUGGUUAUCUUGCAGCACAGACAGCGGAGUGUGUGCUGCACACCGCAGGAUGUGGGAGGCGUGUUUGUGACGAGACCUGCUCCGCUCUACACCUUGGAAAGGCCACUUCCUGCCCCGUGUCACAAAAUAUACACAAAUAGACUUCUUUAUUUACAACAUGCGAACAAAUUUUUUUUGUUUUUCUCUCUGCUAACAAACUAUAAAGUCUACUAAAGAAUUAAGAAAUUGCAUAGGCUAUGUGAGGCUAAGAGAAUACAGCAUAUAUAUCAGACCUAUAGAGAGUAUUCUAUUUAUUUUACAUUAUCAGAACAGCGAAGCAAUGUACAAGCACUGAUGUUAAAGAUUAUCUCUGAAAUGUACUACAGAAACUGAACUGAGAUAUGUGUACAAGAUUCCAGUGAAAUAACUGUCUCUGAUUGGUGAAUGCACCUACAACUCCUGUGGCCAAUAGCACCGUGGAAACAGACCCAUUGGAAACAUAACAGCAGGCACUGGAAAUAUGACAAUAGGCACUGGAAAUAUGACAGUAGGCACUGAAAAUAUGACAAAGGCACUGGAAAUAUGACAAAGGCACUGGAAAUAUGACAACAGGCACUAGACAUUUGACAGCAGGCACUAUAAAGUGACCAGUGGAAAUGUGAGUAAUAUGAUACAUUUCACUGUCGCUAGUAGAAAUGCUUUUGGCAGAGAAAAUUAUUUGGCAGAUGCUUUUGUCCAAAGUGAAAGCUUUUUAACCAUACAAAUGAUGAACUCAGCGUGAUACAAACUUUAGCAGAUAUCAAUGGUAUGUGAAUCCCAAUUGAUCUCUCUCUUAAUUGUCUUCUGUCUGAUUUGAGGACCACAUGUUUGUGCCGUUAACUAUGGAAAAAGAGAGAGAGAGAGAGAGUGAGAGAGAGAGAGCAGAAGAGAGAAGAAGAGAGGGUGUUAAGGUGUCAGUAGGUGUUAGUCAGACACUAACUGAGACUUGGUUGUCUCUCACAUAAUCUCAAAUAUUGGGACAUCCAACCCACAAUAAGCGUUCAAACUUUCUGUUGUAAUUAAAUCAUUGCAGUUGUGUUAAAAUGUCUGACCUGUUCUAUGAGUCUUCUUCUUUCUGCACACGCAUAUAGUCACGGCCAGACUAAUCAGAAGCCCCAAAGACACGGGUAUGAUGACAUCUGUGGACCAAAUACAUGUCAACAUUCCUGUUCAUUACAUUGACUCAUUGAGCAGAUGUCUUUAAUCAAAUCGACUUCCAGUAUGGUACAGAUACAUAGAGACAUUCAUCAGUGUGUGCGCCGCCUGGGUAGGGAACCCACGACUCGGUGGUGUUACCCCCUUUUGCCUUACCAGUUGAGCUUCAGGUUCACUAUGUUCCCUGCUAAAGCAUUUAAGUUCCUAAGUAACAAUCCUCAUAGAAAUAUAUUUACUGUUCUAGAUAUUUUGACUCAUUAAAUACCAAAUAAAUAUACAGAGUAUAUAGUCUGCA